UUCUAUCAGUCUUGCACGUGAGGAGAGCCAAACAAGUUCAAGAAAUUUCAGCGUCUUUUGCAGCUUUUCUGCGGCCACAAAACACAUCACUUCCUCGUUAUAGCCUUAGAUACAGUUUGGUCCGUUCUGUCAAGUCCAGCGUGUGUUUCUUCGUUCGAAGUUGCUGAGUGGGGUGGCUCAAAUUCGACGUCGAGGAUUGAUAGAGGUCAUUUUGUCUCGAAUUCCCCUCAGCGUAAAGCAUAGAAUGAAAGCAAUUACUGGAAAUCGAGAGUUACAUGGGAGGAAAAUUAAAAGAAGAGAGUAUCAUCCAAUAAGAGUCGAUACAAGAGGAUGAAAAAGGGUAUCCCAAGAGGAUUGGAGAAAUGGAAUGGAAAACGAACAGAAAGAUGAGAGAGAAUUCGGCUAAUUGUUGCUUAAAUUUCAUUAUUGAAGAAAGAAACGAGAGGAAAUUUCCAGGGCUCUGCCUAUUUAAUUCAAUAACAAGGAUUGUCAAGUACAGUACAAAAAAUUUUUACUCCUACUGUGAGCAGCGAAAAUAAAUGUUGAAAUUUUAUUCAAGUGUUACUUUACUAGUAAAUAUUUUGUAGAAAUCAAAUUAUAAGUGAGUAAGUCGAUAAGGUUUUCAGGGAUCGUCGUAGAGAAAUCAAAAUGUCUUUAAAAAUGUGAUUUGUUCAAAGUAAUUUACAAGUUUAUUCCAAAAGUGCAAGUGAAAAAUUGUUCAAAAAUAUGUCAUUCUAGCAGUGGUAGUGUGACUGAAAAUUCGUUUUAAAAUCCCUCAAAGUUCAACAGUAGUAGUGAAAAUAAAAAAUUAGUUUUAUACUCCGUCGAAGUCUAAUAGUAGUAGUACUAUUAAAAAAAUAUCGUUUUAAAAUCUGUACAAAUAAAAAUUGUUCAAAGUCUAGCAG